GACGAACGCUGGCGGCGUGCUUAACACAUGCAAGUCGAACGGAAAGGCCCUGCUUUUGUGGGGUGCUCGAGUGGCGACCGGGUGAGUAACACGUGAGUAACCUGCCCUUGACUUUGGGAUAACUUCAGGAAACUGGGGCUAAUACCGGAUAGGAGCUCCUGCUGCAUGGUGGGGGUUGGAAAGUUUCGGCGGUUGGGGAUGGACUCGCGGGUUAUCAGCUUGUUGGUGGGGUAGUGGCUUACCAAGGCUUUGACGGGUAGCCGGCCUGAGCGGGUGACCGGCCACAUGGGGACUGAGAUACGGCCCAGACUCGUACGGGAGGCAGCAGUGGGGAAUAUUGCACAAUGGGCGGAAGCCUGAUGCAGCAACGCCGCGUGCGGGAUGACGGCCUGCGGGUUGUAAACCGCAUUCGCCUGUGACGAAGCGUGAGUGACGGUAAUGGGUGAAGAAGCACCGGCUAACUACGUG
rnacentral:rRNA from 1 species